rnacentral:rRNA from 1 species
GCGUGAGUGAUGAAGGCCUUAGGGUUGUAAAGCUCUUUUACCAGGGAUGAUAAUGACAGUACCUGGAGAAUAAGCUCCGGCUAACUCCGUGCCAGCAGCCGCGGUAAUACGGAGGGAGCUAGCGUUGUUCGGAAUUACUGGGCGUAAAGCGCACGUAGGCGGCGAUUCAAGUCGGGGGUGAAAUCCCGGGGCUCAACCCCGGAACUGCCUCCGAAACUAGAUUGCUAGAAUCCUGGAGAGGUUAGUGGAAUUCCGAGUGUAGAGGUGAAAUUCGU